rfam:Gossypium arboreum cultivar AKA8401 contig_1043_3, whole genome shotgun sequence.
UGUUAAAAAUUUCAUCAAUUUCUACUGUUAAAAAUUAACGUGGUUGACGAAAAAAUAUAAUAACUACACAUGACGUGCCAUGUGUAUUUCAUAUUUAUGUAAACAGACCAAAUUUUAAUAGUAAAAAUAGAUGAAAUUUUUAACG